UUAGCUGAGAGGUGGUGCAUGGCCGUCGUCAGUUCGUACUGUGAAGCAUCCUGUUAAGUCAGGCAACGAGCGAGACCCACGUCCACAGUUGCCAGCAUACCCUCCGGGGUGAUGGGUACACUGUGGAGACCGCCGCUGCUAAAGCGGAGGAAGGAGUGGGCAACGGUAGGUCAGUAUGCCCCGAAUCUCCCGGGCUACACGCGGGCUACAAUGGUUGGUACAAUGGGCAUCUACCCCGAAAGGGGAAGGAAAUCUCUUAAAGCCAAUCGUAGUUCGGAUUGAGGGCUGCAACUCGCCCUCAUGAAGCUGGAAUCCGUAGUAAUCGCGUUUCAACAGAACGCGGUGAAUACGUCCCUGCUCCUU
rnacentral:rRNA from 1 species